ACACCCAAAUACAGGAUGCUAGUUCGUGUAACAAACAGAGAUAUCAUUUGUCAGAUUGCUUAUGCCCGUAUAGAGGGGGACAUGAUAGUCUGCGCAGCAUAUGCACAUGAACUGCCAAAAUAAGGUGUGAAGGUUGGCCUGACAAAUUACGCUGCAGCGUAUUGUACUGGCCUGCAGCUGGCCCGCAGGCUUCUCAAUAGGUUUGGCAUGGACAAGAUCUAUGAGGGCCAAGUGGAGGUGACUGGUGAUGAAUACAAUGUGGAAAGCAUUGAUGAUCAGCCAGGUGCCUUUACCUGCUAUUUGGAUGCAGGCCUUGCCAGAACUACCACUGGCAAUAAAGUUUUUGGUGCCCUGAAGGGAGCUGUGGAUGGAGGCUUGUCUAUCCCUCAUAGUACCAAGCGAUUCCCUGGUUGUGAUUCUGAAAGCAAGGAAUUUAAUGCAGGAGUACACCGGAAGCACAUCAUGGGCCAGAAUGUUGCAGAUUACAUGCGCUACUUAAUGGAAGAAGAUGAAGAUGCUUACAAGAAACAGUUCUCUUAAUACAUAAAGAACAGCGUAACUCCAGACAUGAUGGAGGAGAUGUAUAAGACAGCUCAUGCUGCUAUACGAGAGAAUCCAGUCUAUGAAAAGAAGCCCAAGUAAGAAGUUAAGAAGAACAGGUGGAACCGCCCCAAAAUGUCCCUUGCUCAGAAGAAAGAUCGGGUAGCUCAAAAGAAGGCAAGCUUCCUCAGAGCUCAGGAGCGGGCUGCUGAGAGCUAAACCAAACAAUUUUCUAUCAGGAUUUUGCAGAUAAAGACAAUAAACUUAUGGACUGCAA